UAAAAGACAUAAAAAUAAAAUAAAAAUACACUAAGAAAGUUUUGCUGCAACAGUCAAAACAAUGAAAAUGCAUUUGGUCAGCAUAAUCAGUGGAAGUGCACAUCAGUAUUCCAAUUUCAUUUGUUCACUGUAAUGUAAUUUUUGUAUAUAGUAGUCCAGUAUUAUUUUAUUUAUUGUGAGGGACCCAGAGGCGGGCCCAUUGGAGAAUAUCACUCCACGCCCGAUCGUAAGUUAACGGGGUUGACAAUUUUAUGACAAAUAUCGGGUGAGUGUGUCUUUCUUCCAGCCCGUCCAAAAUGCUCCUUCUCCACCAUCCACAAAAGAAUAAUAAACAUGUUGCAGUUUGGACUGUCGGAAAGCUCAAACAUCGUGCAGGUAUUUGGUGGGGUUGAUGUGAAUUAUGUGACCGGAAUCACGAUAACGACUUCCCGAAGAGAAGGGGGAAAUAUGUUUAUUGUUCUAGCCAAAAGGGUGAGAGAGGACUGGCACAAAAAGAAAGGCCAGUUGCUUCCAGAUCGUCGAAGCAUUCAGAUGUGAUUCUGAUGUGCUUGCUUAUUUCAAUAAGUCAGGCUCUAAUCACUGAAAAGAUAGUUGGUGCAUUAUCUCAGAGAUAGCCGAGAAACGAGAUAUCUCUCAUCUCGACCGAUGGGCAGACAUAGCAGAAACUCCGACAAGUGCCAGAUCUCGACCAGCUCUCCUGUUCCUCAUCUUCUUGCUACAUCCUUAGGACU
rnacentral:lncRNA from 1 species